CCCUUAGAUGUUCUGGGCCGCACGCGCGCUACACUGAUGCAUUCAACGAGCCUAUCCUUGACCGACAGGUCCGGGUAAUCUUUGAAUCUGCAUCGUGACGGGGAUAGAUUAUUGCAAUUAUUAAUCUUCAACGAGGAAUGCCUAGUAAACGCAAGUCAUCAGCUUGCAUUGAUUACGUCCCUGCCCUUUGUACACACCGCCCGUCGCUCCUACCGAUUGAAUGAUCCGAUGAAUAUCAUGGAUUGAGGAUUAUAGCAGGUUCGCCUGUCUUGAUCUUCGAGAAGUGAAGUAAAUCUUAACAUUUAGAGGAAGGAGAAGUCGUAACA
rnacentral:rRNA from 1 species